CGCGGAUCCCAUCCGGGUCGGCCACAAAGCCCAAGGGCCGAUAAAACCCGAGAACCCGGGGCUCCGAAUACAAAGCGAUAUUCCCGAUGCCCUUAUCGACGAGCUCCUCCACGAGGCGCUCCAUCACGGCCCGGCCCAGGCCGAUCCCCUGAAAGGAGGGGUCGACGACGACGUCCCAUAUGAUGGCGUUGAAGACGCCGUCGCCGGUGGCCCUGGCGAAGGCGACGGGGCGGUUGGUCUUGGCGUACUCGAGCCAGAGCAGGGAGUCGGUGUGGUCCAGCGCGAUCCGGAUCUUGGCCGGGUCCCGCUUGGGGAACCCGACGGCGACGAAGACCUUGUUGAGGUGGUCGAGGUUGAGGUCGGCGGUGGUGCGGUGGAGGAGGAAGCCGCGGGAGUCGAGGUCCUGGUCCGAGAUCGAGUACUUGUUGGUUGGGGAAUGCCACGAAACGGCGACGUUUUGAGGCCGAGCUGCGGUGGUUCUGAGGCGGAGAGACUGGAGAGGGGCGGAGAUUGUGCCACGUAGCAGCAUCGUUGGGAAGCGUGAGAAGAGCAGAGCGAUGAGGAGGAGGAGGAGUCUAGUGAGAGAGCGCCAUUGGUUGUGAAGCACCGUUGGAAGAUAACGAUAGUUUUAGCGCGCUGUCAUAACGGUGUCGUUUCGGUGAAGUUGUGAGUUUGGGACCAGUUAUGUACGGGAGGGUUUUUAAUGAGGACCAACAAAAUGAUGAUCUUAUUGUUGUGAGAUUUAUUUUUUGAUCACAUUUUCAUAAAUUAACCGUUAGGUGUGUAGAUA
rnacentral:lncRNA from 1 species